UUGGAGGGCAAGUCUGGUGCCAGCAGCCGCGGUAAUUCCAGCUCCAAUGGCGUAUAUUAAAGUUGUUGCAGUUAAAAAGCUCGUAGUUGAAUUUCGAGACCGGCUUACUGGUCGUGCUUUUGUGCGUACUGGUAUAAUCGGUUUCUCCUUUCUGACGAACUUUAAUGCCAUUAAUUUGGUGUUAUAGGGAAUCAGGACUGUUACUUUGAAAAAAUUAGAGUGUUUAAAGCAGGC
rnacentral:rRNA from 1 species